AGAGUUAAAUAGUACGUGAAAUUGUUAAAAGGGAAACGAUUGAAACCAGUAUUUUUAGUAGAAUUCAAUCAAUUUUAGUGGAUCGUUAUGUUUAAAGAGGGCAACCCUUUGGGCAUGAUGUUGAAGCUUAGGUUGAUGCAUUUUUCUACUAAAAAGUCAACAUCAGUUCUAUUUGCUGGAUAAAGCUUAGAGGAAGGUGACUUUCUUUGAAAGUUUUAUAGACUUUAAGCCAAACAGCGAGUCGGGACUGAGGACUGCAGCGUAGCGAAAGCAUUUCCAGAAGCGGUCUAUUUUAGUUGAACUAAGCAAGACUACAAGUAGGCUUGUUUAGGCUUGAUUAUUUUAAGUCUGUGGAUGGUUACAUACGCUUAGGAUGUUGACGAAAUGGUUUUAAACGACC
rnacentral:rRNA from 1 species